UACGAACUGUGCGAACGUUAUUCGGAAUCACUGGGCUUACAGGGUGCGUAGGCGGCUCAACAAGUCAGGUGUGAAAGCCCCCGGCUCAACCGGGGAACUGCGCUUGAAACUGUUAGGCUCGAGUCAGCUAGAGGUACACGGAACUUCCAGUGGAGCGGUGAAAUGUGUUGAUAUUGGAAGGAACACCGGAGGCGAAGGCGGCUUUCUGGUCUGCUCUUGACGCUGAGGCGCGAAAGCUAGGGUAGCAAACGGG
rnacentral:rRNA from 1 species